rnacentral:rRNA from 1 species
GACGAACGCUGGCGGCGUGCCUAACACAUGCAAGUCGAGCGAUGAAGUUUCCUUCGGGAAACGGAUUAGCGGCGGACGGGUGAGUAACACGUGAGCAACCUGCCUCAAAGUGGGGGAUAGCCUUCCGAAAGGAAGAUUAAUACCGCAUAAUAUCAGAGAAUCACAUGAUUUUUUGAUUAAAGGAGUAAUCCGCUUUGAGAUGGGCUCGCGGCGCAUUAGCUAGUUGGUGAGGUAACGGCUCACCAAGGCGACGAUGCGUAGCCGACCUGAGAGGGUGAUCGGCCACAUUGGGACUGAGACACGGCCCAG